rnacentral:rRNA from 1 species
ACGGAGGGUGCGAGCGUUGUCCGGAAUCACUGGGCGUAAAGGGCGCGUAGGUGGUCUGCUAAGCGUGCGGUGAAAGCCUGGGGCUCAACCCCAGGUCUGCCGUGCGAACUGGUGGACUUGAGCACUGUAGAGGCAGGUGGAAUUCCGGGUGUAGCGGUGGAAUGCGUAGAGAUCCGGAAGAACACCGGUGGCGAAGGCGGCCUGCUGGGCAGUAGCUGACACUGAGGCGCGACAGCGUGGGGAGCAAACAGGAUUAGAUACCCUGGUAGUCCACGCCGUAAACGAUGGGGACUAGGUGCUUGGGGGAGCGACCCCUCGAGUGCCGGCGCUAACGCAUUAAGUCCCCCGCCUGGGGAGUACGGCCGCAAGGCUG